UACGAAGGGGGCUAGCGUUGCUCGGAUUGACUGGGCGUAAAGGGCGCGUAGGCGGUUCGUACAGUCAGACGUGAAAUUCCUGGGCUCAACCUGGGGGCUGCGUUUGAUACGUGCGGACUUGAGUGCGGAAGAGGGUCGUGGAAUUCCCAGUGUAGAGGUGAAAUGCGUAGAUAUCUGGAGGAACACCGGUGGCGAAGGCGGCAUCCUGGACCAACACUGACGCUGAGUGAGCGAAAGCCAGGGGAGCAAACGGG
rnacentral:rRNA from 1 species